GUCCAUGUUUAUAUAUUUUUCUCUUUUAUAUAUUUGCAUCGAGAAUCCUUUCUUCUUCUUCUUUAUUUCUUUUCACACCCUUCCACCUUCUAUGCAUAUUAGGUUGUUGUGGGAUCGUAGAAAGAGGUAGAAGCGACCUCAAAAAAUUAUCACACCGUUUGGUGGUCUUACUUUUGUUCUUUUUAGUUGUAGUAGAUAGUAGAAGACGAUAAAACGUGAUUUGAUAGACCUUGACUUCGGAUCACUUCUAUUCAUCACUACCACAAAUAGAGAUCCACAAAACUAGUGACCAAAUCCCUGCCCCCAACCCGACCCCAACACUGCCUG
rnacentral:lncRNA from 1 species